AGGGGAAUAGCUCAAUUGGCAGAGCGUCGGUCUCCAAAACCGAAGGUUGUGGGUUCGAUUCCCUCUUCCCCUG
rnacentral:tRNA from 2 species